rnacentral:rRNA from 1 species
UACGUAGGGUGCGAGCGUUAAUCGGAAUUACUGGGCGUAAAGCGUGCGCAGGCGGUUAUUUAAGUCAGGUGUGAAAGCCCUGGGCUUAACCUAGGAAUUGCGCUUGAGACUGGAUAGCUUGGAGUGCGGCAGAGGGAGGUGGAAUUCCACGUGUAGCAGUGAAAUGCGUAGAGAUGUGGAGAAACACCGAUGGCGAAGGCAGCCUCCUGGGCCAGCACUGACGCUCAUGCACGAAAGCGUGGGGAGCAAACAGG